GAGUAUGCAUGUAUAUGUUGAGGCCAAUUAUAUGCUUAAUACUUCCCACAAGUAUGGUUACUUGUAUUGGUUAUAUACCGUUUCGUUUCAAAUUCAAAACUCGGCUAAUACGCAUUUAUACACUAGUAAUCUAAUACUAACAUUUUGCAUUUUAUCUUACUACCAUUUCACAUCUACUUUCUACCAUGGCCGAAUGCAUCAAGACACCAUUUACC
rnacentral:lncRNA from 1 species